rnacentral:miRNA from 1 species
AAGGGAAGAAGGAAGCUGGAUU